rnacentral:snRNA from 1 species
GCAGGGGAGACCCCAUGAUCACGAAGGUGCUUUUCCCAGGACGAGGCUUAUCCAUUGCACUCCGGAUGUGCUGACCUCUGUGAUUUCCCCAGAUGUGGGAAACUCAACUGC